rnacentral:pre_miRNA from 15 species
UUUUUUGUCUGAUGUUGAUGUAAUGCCGUCACUUGGUCGGCGAUUUAAUAUUAUCAGAACAUAGGAAAUUGUUAGUAUUAGUUGUGCGACCAGGAGACGGUAUUCGCAUAUUUCUUAAAUAUUCAUU